rnacentral:rRNA from 1 species
GACGAACGCUGGCGGCGUGCCUAAUACAUGCAAGUCGAACGGAAAGACCCGGCGCUUGCGGCGUUCUCGUGUGCCGAACGGGGGUGUGACACGCGAGUAACCUGCCCCUGUCUUUGUGAUAUCACCACGGAACAGGGGCUCAUAUCGGAUAGGAUAUCCUGCUGCGCAUGGGUGGUUGGAAAGAUUCGGCGGUUGGGGAUGGACUCGCAGGUUAUCCGCUUGUUGGUGUGGUAGUGGCUUACCAGGGCUUUGACGGGUAGCCGGCCUGAGCGGGGGAACGGCCACAAUGGGACUAAGAUACGGACCAGACGCCUACGGGAGGCAGCAGUGGGAAGUCUUGCACAAUGGGCGGAAGCCUGAUGCAGCAACGCCGCGUGCGGGAUGACGUCCUUCGGGUUGUAAACAGCUUUCGCCUGUGACGAGGCGGGAGUGACGGUAAUGGGUAAAGAAGCACCGGCUAACUACGUG